rnacentral:rRNA from 1 species
UUACAAGUUAUUAAGAGCACACGGGGAAUGCCUAGGCUCUCAGAGGCGAAGAAGGACGUGAUAAGCUGCGAAAAGCUAUGGGGAUUGGCAAAUACGAUUUGAUCCAUAGAUAUCCGAAUGGGGAAACCCGGCAUUUUGAAGAAAUGUCAUCCGCAAGGAAGCGAACGUGGGGAACUGAAACAUCUAAGUACCCAUAGGAGAAGAAAACAAAAGUGAUUUCCGUAGUAGCGGCGAGCGAAGUGGAAACAGCCCAAACCAUGUUUGUUUCGGCAAAUAUGGGGUUGUAGGACUACAAUAUGGACAUAAUAAAUAUAGUUGAAGACGUUUGGAAAGGCGCAUUAAAGAAGGUGAUAAUCCUGUAGACGAAAUAUUUGUUACACCUAGUAGUAUCCUGAGUAGGGCGGGGCACGUGAAACCCUGUCUGAAUCUACCGGGACCAUCCGGUAAGGCUAAAUACU